AUUACUAUAUAAACUGUGCACAAUGACGGUCGACCCAGAAAGAAGGAAGAAGCCCGGAGAGGUAUCGGGCGACAGCAGGGUAACUGCGAGGUAAGUGUAAUUCACGCGUCGCGUCGGGAGUGCCGUGUAAAGUGUCGCGCGUCGGGAGUGCCGUGUAAGUAUCGGGCGAUCAAUUAUUCGUGUUUUCGCGAUUGUCGUGAGUGCUACAAAGGACCAAAAGAGGAGCAGGCCCGGGGAGGCAUCGGGCGACAGCGGGAAAACUAUGAGAUCAAUGUGCUGUUUACUACAACUCUGCUGUUGCACGUAUCGGUAGCAUUGCGGUACACAGUGCGUCGUGUCGGGAGUGCCGUGUAAAGUAUCGCGCGUCGGGAG